AUCCAGCUUGCACACAAAUAAACAAAGCUGAAGGUUGUUUUCUGGCUGAACCAAACUGUGUUGUUGAAGAUGUUGAUGGUGGAUGGUCACCAUUCUCCUUUAUCUGGACACCUUGUACAGUAACAUGCGGAGGUGGCACACAAUCUGCACAAGAGAGGCGUACCUGUACAAAUCCUCGUCCCUCCGUGAACGGCGCAGAUUGUAAAGGAUCAAGCGUUGCAAGUAAAUCCUCACGAUCGUGUAAUAUUCAGCCUUGUCCAGUUGAUGGAAAUUGGUCAGCAUUUGGUAAAUACAGCGAAUGGAAUGUAUGCUCUGUUACCUGUGGUACGGGGAUACAAAGUAGAAGUAAAACAAGAGAAUGUGAUAAUCCAAAGCCACAGUAUGGAGGGGAAAAUUGCUCUGGAACAAACAUACUUACUGAUACAAAGACAUGUGU